AAAUAUAAAAGAAACCAUAAGGCCCAUAACCUAAACUUUUUCAGAAAACUAAAAAAACCCUAGGCCUCUAGCGCCACUCCCCUUUGCCAUGUCAGCGGACACUUCUCCCAAAGACACCCACGCCUCGAGGUCUGUCGCUUUGCCACCGUUUCACCGAAAUGGUUAAAGGCACACCUUCCUAUCACCGCUGACCGCCACCACCACCUGCAAAACAGAAAGAACAAGAGAACAGAAACGACAUAGAAACAGGAAGCAAAAACAGUGGAAAUGGCAGAAACAGUAGAAACAACAAG
rnacentral:lncRNA from 1 species